rnacentral:rRNA from 1 species
UACGUAGGGUGCAAGCGUUUGUCCGGAAUUAUUGGGCGUAAAGAGCUCGUAGGCGGUUUGUCGCGUCUGCUGUGAAAACUCGGGGCUUAACCCCGGGCCUGCAGUGGGUACGGGCAGACUAGAGUGCGGCAGAGGAGACUGGAAUUCCUGGUGUAGCAGUGAAAUGCGUAGAUAUCAGGAGGAACACCGAUGGCGAAGGCAGGUCUCUGGGCUGACACUGACGCUCAUGCACGAAAGCGUGGGGAGCAAACAGG